rnacentral:rRNA from 1 species
AGACGGGGCCCGCACAAGCGGUGGAGCAUGUGGUUUAAUUCGAUGCAACGCGAAGAACCUUACCUGGUCUGACAUCCACGGAAGUUUUCAGAGAUGAGAAUGUGCCUUCGGGAACCGUGAGACAGGUGCUGCAUGGCUGUCGUCAGCUCGUGUUGUGAAAUGUUGGGUUAAGUCCCGCAACGAGCGCAACCCUUAUCCUUUGUUGCCAGCGGUCCGGCCGGGAACUCAAAGGAGACUGCCAGUGAUAAACUGGAGGAAGGUGGGGAUGACGUCAAGUCAUCAUGGCCCUUACGACCAGGGCUACACACGUGCUACAAUGGCGCAUACAAAGAGAAGCGACCUCGCGAGAGCAAGCGGACCUCAUAAAGUGCGUCGUAGUCCGGAUUGGAGUCUGCAACUCGACUCCAUGAAGUCGGAAUCGCUAGUAAUCGUGGAUCAGAAUGCCACGGUGAAUACGUUCCCGGGCCUU